UUGAACCUUUGACUUAUCAUUUCCAGAUUUCUAAAGGCACGAGGGUUCAAUAUUGAAAAAGCUACUCAUAUGUGGUCUGAGAUGCUCCAGUGGAGGAUCAACUUUGGUGCUGAUACUAUCAUUCAUGAUUUUGUAUUUGAUGAACUCGACGAAGUCCUCCAUUAUUAAGAUUUUGAACUCUACGCCAUAGAUCGCCUCCGAGUCCUGCAGGGUAUUUCAGAUGGUUUG